rnacentral:rRNA from 1 species
AUUAAACGCUGGCGGCAUGCCUUACACAUGCAAGUCGAACGGCAGCACGGGGGCAACCCUGGUGGCGAGUGGCGGACGGGUGAGUAAAGCAUCGGAACGUAUCCUGGAGUGGGGGAGUAACGUAGCGAAAGUUACGCUAAUACCGCAUAUUCUGUGAGCAGGAAAGCAGGGGAUCGCAAGACCUUGCGCUCUGGGAGCGGCCGAUGUCGGAUUAGCUAGUUGGUGGGGUAAAGGCCUACCAAGGCGACGAUCCGUAGCGGGUCUGAGAGGAUGAUCCGCCACACUGGGACUGAGACACGGCCCAGACUCCUACGGGAGGCAGCAGUGGGGAAUUUUGGACAAUGGGCGGAAGCCUGAUCCAGCCAUGCCGCGUGAGUGAAGAAGGCCUUC